CUAUAAUGCAAGUCGAGCGGACAGAUGGGAGCUUGCUCCCUGAUGUUAGCGGCGGACGGGUGAGUAACACGUGGGUAACCUGCCUGUAAGACUGGGAUAACUCCGGGAAACCGGGGCUAAUACCGGAUGCUUGUUUGAACCGCAUGGUUCAAACAUAAAAGGUGGCUUCGGCUACCACUUACAGAUGGACCCGCGGCGCAUUAGCUAGUUGGUGAGGUAACGGCUCACCAAGGCAACGAUGCGUAGCCGACCUGAGAGGGUGAUCGGCCACACUGGGACUGAGACACGGCCCAGACUCCUACGGGAGGCAGCAGUAGGGAAUCUUCCGCAAUGGACGAAAGUCUGACGGAGCAACGCCGCGUGAGUGAUGAAGGUUUUCGGAUCGUAAAGCUCUGUUGUUAGGGAAGAACAAGUACCGUUCGAAUAGGGCGGUACCUUGACGGUACCUAACCAGAAAGCCACGGCUAACUACGUGCCAGCAGCCGCGGUAAUACGUAGGUGGCAAGCGUUGUCCGGAAUUAUUGGGCGUAAAGGGCUCGCAGGCGGUUCCUUAAGUCUGAUGUGAAAG
rnacentral:rRNA from 1 species